rnacentral:rRNA from 1 species
ACGGAAGGCAGCAGUGGGGAAUAUUGCGCAAUGGGGGCAACCCUGACGCAGCAAUACCGCGUGAGUGAGGAAGGUUUUCGGAUCGUAAAACUCUUUUAUCAGGGAAGAUAAUGACGGUACCUGAUGAAGAAGUCCCGGCUAACUACGUGCCAGCAGCCGCGGUAAUACGUAGGGGACAAGCGUUGUCCGGAAUGACUGGGCGUAAAGGGCGCGUAGGCGGGAUGUUAAGUCUGAUGUGAAAGGUUACGGCUCAACCGUAGACAUGCAUUGGAAACUGGCAUUCUUGAGUACUGGAGAGGCAAGUGGAAUUCCUAGUGUAGCGGUGAAAUGCGUAGAUAUUAGGAGGAACACCAGUGGCGAAGGCGGCUUUCUGGACAGAUACUGACACUGAGGCACGAAAGUGUGGGGAGCAAACAGGAUUAGAUACCCUGGUA